rnacentral:rRNA from 1 species
UACAGAGGUCUCAAGCGUUGUUCGGAUUCAUUGGGCGUAAAGGGUGCGUAGGUGGCAUGGUAAGUCGGAUGUGAAAUCCCGGGGCUUAACCCCGGAACUGCAUUCGAUACUGCCAGGCUAGAGUACUGGAGAGGAGAUUGGAAUUUACGGUGUAGCAGUGAAAUGCGUAGAUAUCGUAAGGAAGACCAGUGGCGAAGGCGGGUCUCUGGACAGUUCCUGACGCUGAGGCACGAAGGUCAGGGGAGCAAACGGG